GUGUUUUAUUUUGUUAAUUCUUGGGAUGUGUACAUUGCUGGCAAGACCGACAUUUAUUGCCCACCUGUAGUUGUCCUUGAGAAGGUGAUUGUAAGCUACUUUCUUGAACAGAUGCAGUUCAUGUGUUGAAGAUGCUACCACAGUGCAGUUAGGUCAGGAAUUCCAUGAUUUUGAUCCAGCAAUAAUGAAGGAAAAGCAAUAUAUUUCCAAGUUAGGCUGGUGUGUGACUUAGAGCUGAAAAUAUUUCCAUCCAUCUGCUACCAUUGUCCUUCUAAGUCAUGGAGGUCACAGGUUUGGGAAGUGCCAUCAAAGCUUUAGGGAAUUGCUGCAGUGCAUCCUGUUGAUGGUGCACAUUCUCUCCAUGGUCCAGUGAUAGUGGAGUGAGUGAGUGCUUAAGGUAGAUGGGGUGACAAUCAAGUGCACUGCUUUACGCUCGGUGUUACUGAGUUUCUUGAUUGAUAUCCAGACAAGUGGCAAAUAUUCCCACACACAUCUGACUCUUGCCUUAUAAGUGGUAAAGAGGCUCUGGAGAGCCAGGAGGUAAGUUAUUCACCACAGAAUACGCAGCCUCUGACUUGUUCUAGUAGCCAGCGUAUUAUACGCGUGGUCCAGUUGAGUUUCUGGUCAACAGUGACCCCCCCCCCCAAGAUGUUGAUGGGGGACUCAAAUGAUGGUAAUGCCAUUGAAUAUCAAGGGGAGCUGGUUAGACACUCUCUUGGAGAUGGUCAUUGCCUGCUCUUCUGUGUUUGAGACUGAAGCAUAAGGACAGCACCUGUGAUGCUGAGAUUCUCCCACAAAAUGCUGGGCAGGCUGCAGCUUGCUGUGGAAAUCUUUCCUUUCUUCCUGACCUUUUUGCAGGUUCAGCUGUAUGGACUCUUUGAAGAACAUUAAUCUGCUGCAACAUUUUGAUCAAUUUAUUUGAGACUAAUUGAAGCAGAGAUGUGCCUUACUUUGACAUUGUCCCUGGUAGUGAUUUAUUUUACUGCUAAUAAUCUACUAAAGAAAAUAUGUUUGUUGGUGUAUUCACUGCCCCUCAGCUGUGCCUCCCUAGGUGUUGCCUCGGCUGCUAUUUAGUACUCAGCCUCUUUGGGCUGAGUUUCUUGUCUGGCACAUCAGCUAACUGAGAAGUAGGGGAAACUGGUUCCAUUUGUCAACGAAAAAUUCAUUUUAAGCUCUCCCAAUUUCUCAUUAUGGCACUGAGUUGUGUUGAGCAAGAAGGUGCUGGGUUUAUUCACUUCCGUCUGCUGUGUUAAUGCAGUUGAGUGCUCGAAUUGACCUCAGCAGGUCUGGGUUCAAGUUCCUGUCCCUGACCACUACCUGGCACUGGUGAGGGCAGGAUUAAGCUCAAAUAUCCAACCAACAGGACUGACAUCUGAAAAUGGUCACUUGUAUGAGCUACCGGAAAUGUGUUUGAAGCUUGUGGAGCUGCAUUUCAGCAAGAGUUUUGAUUGAGUUAUUGAAUGACUUGUGAGCUACAUCUUGAGACUUUCAAACUGUUACUUGGCUUAGUGACCCUGAACAAGAGGGAACAUUUCUUGGAAACUGAGUUACGUUUCAUCAGGAUUCUGUUUAUAAUCAAACUUUCAUCCAAAUACCUUUCCCCAUCCCCCAUACACUGGAGAAAUUCAUUGUACUUUUGGAUUACCUGGCCAAUUAUUACAGGCCAAAAAAUACAAGGCCAAUUACCAUUGGGAUCAUUCAGGACAGAAUUAUCCUGGUGAUUCAAGACGGGCUGCCAGGAAUGAUGGCAUCUGUGCAGUGAAAUACAAUACUCGUGUGAGUGUUGGUAGAAUAUUCAACCAUUGAGAAUAUUUUAUUCCAGCCCAGUUGAAUUGAAAGAGCAGGGAAUGAGGGGCAAGGAGGUGGAGGUGUCAUCCCCCUAUCCCCCCUACAAAUCACUGAUUUGCAUGCAAUAGACACAGCAUUGUGUUUCUAAUGAUUCCAUUUGAUCUGCCACUGCUCUGCUGAUAUCUUCCCAUCUAGCAAUGCUUCACCUAUCUCUCUCUCUCUCUCUCUCCCAUUGCUGCUUCCGCCAAGCCCAGUGGUCCAGCCCCAACAUCACCCUAAAAUAUUAAAAGAUUCAGCAGGAGCUAUAAAUUUUAUACAAAUUUAUUGCACAGGUUACAUGGAAAUACAGAUUUCUGGUAAUGACCUGGUGAGUUUGGUGCUUACAGUGCAUGGGUCAAUAACUGGAGUUGAAAUUAGGCUGGAAUUACAGAAUUUAUCUUUCUAUAAAACAUUUAAAAAUUCCAUAUAAAUGCCAUUUCAUAAGCAGUUUAACCUAUUUGCUCCAUUAUGCUUAAAUUCCCAUGUUCACAUAUAUCCCAACAGCAGCAAAACUGAUCUGUAAGCUUCACAACAGGAGACCCACUUGCUAGAACAGAUAGUUCUGAACCCACCUACAAUGCUUAAGGGCUUAGAUAAACUCUUACAGGGUCUGCGCAUCAUGCCCAGAAAUCCCCAUUACACUCGCAGUAAAGCCACCUCUUUCUAAGGACACUGGGCUGCGACUCUGCUCACUGCCCCACUCUGCAUUCAGAAUAACACAGCAGAGACCAGGGUUUGAAGCAGGAGUUUUCUGAUCUUUCUGCAUUGAUGCUAGACCACAAACAGCAAUUUACUCAGAGAUAUCAAAAUAAAAGUUUAAUUUCUCGUUGAAAUAACGGGGGUAAGAUUGGAACAGACUACAGAGUUAGCGUGCACCAGCCCAAGGGAGGAAGUAUUUCUGUUGAGUAGCCAGCUAGCCUUAUUCACUGGCCUGUCUUAUGAUGAGAAUCUGAAAUUACAACAUCAAUUGCUUCAAUCCCUGGUGUCUGCCAUUCUCCAAUAUUUUUAUUGUGGACUAUAAUCAGGCUAACCCAUUACGGCCGUGCUUGCCUCUGGUUUCUUUUUUUCUCUGUAUUGGUAGAAACAAAUUGAGACUGAAGACCCAGCACUGUUCUAUGCUGGGUGAGUGAGUUCGCGAGUGUCAGUACUGUACGCUGGAGUGAGCUGCCUAGGUUCAGUAUAACAAUCCAGUGGACAUUUGUGUUGAAAUUUAAGGUAACCCAAAUACUGUUGACGUACAGCUGGUAGCAGCUGAGAGUGAAUCAAGCUAAUGCUUUGGGACGGUUGGGUGGGAGAGUGAGAGAGUUUGGGGGUGGGAGGAUGGGUUCAGAGGAGGCCUUCCAACCCUGAACGGGACAGUUCCUUCCAGUCUGAUUUAGGUUCCCUGGUGACAGCUGUUGGGUGUGAGAGAGAGCUGGAGACAUAGCAGUCAUUGGUAUGUGUGUAAUGUUGAGUGUUUGUUCCCUAGGAGGAUACUUGUGAGGAUUUUGCAGUUUCAUGCACGGCCUGAUUGGAUGUAAGAGGUUUCAGAGUGAGCUGGUGCUGACAGCUGCCAGAGCGCUUGAGAAAAGCAGCGGGGCCAUUUACACAGAGAGAGAGAGCACUUGUAAAAAGCAGCAGGGCCAUUAAAGCCAGAGCGCUUGAGAAAAGCAAUGGGGCCAUUUACAGCAAGAGCACUCGUGGACUUCAUUUAAAACAGAGAGCGGAUGAGCGUGUGGACUUUAUUUAAAACAGAGCGGGGAGACUUAUUUUAAAAAGAGCGCAGAGUGCAGGUGAUUGGCCAUUAGCUGCUGCAGCUGGGUGGUUAUUCAGUCCUAGGCCUGUGCCAGUGUUCAGUCACCCAGCCUCUGCCUUGAGCUUCUUGUGCCUCCCACUGUGACAAGUUGGCUGAUACCUAAGCCCCACACAACAUUAAGGUUGAAAUUGGGACUGGCUGGAGUUCUUCUAUCAAGGGCUCCUCACUGUGACAUUCUGACUUGUGACUUUUAUCCUGAUUCACUGUGCAAAACUUCCACUUUUGAAUCAGCUGAUUGCCUAAAUGUUACAGAAUGUAAUCUCAUAUUUUGAGUGUCACUAAUCUGUUCCUUGCUCUGCUGUUGAUUUAAAGCCUUGAUAUGUUUCCUAGAUUUGAUAGGAAAGGAUCAAGAGGACAUUCAGCAUCUUGAGCCUGUUCUCUGCUGUUCAAUUAGAUUGUGGUUGAUUUGUAGCUUUACUCCAUUUACCUGCCUUUGUUUUGUAACCCUUAACACCCUUACCUAACAAAAUCUAUCAAAUUUAAAUAACCUGCAGCCUCAAGUUUCUUGGGCAAAGCAUUGCAGAUUUCCACUAUCCUGUGAAGAAAUGUUUCUUAACAUUACCACUGAAUGACCUAGCUCUAAUAUUAAGAUUAUGCCCUCCUUGUUCUGGACUUUCCCUGUUAUCCCCAGUAGGCUGGGUUCACAUUGGUGCAGAAUGCAGAUGAUCAAUCUACUGUCUCACUGUGACAACAGUAGUUGGGGUGGGUUAGCUGAGUCACAUCCAGGAUUAUAAACAGUGAUGAUGGAACUACUGCUCUGCGCUGAAUUUAGACAAUUCUGCUCUUUAUUUCAGUAGGUUUUCUUUAGUGGGACAACUGGGUCAUCAUAAAUAUCCACUUGUGGAAAUUAAUGUUGUUUAAUAUUAUACAUUUAGAUAAACUUUGAGGCCCAACCCAUUGUGGAAUUGAAUUCCAUUGAUAAUCAUAUCUUGAUCCUGGUACGGUUUUUGAAAUAUCCUUCAUUUAAGAAUAUUUUUGAAUGUUACUAAAGGCCUUUCUCUUUUUCUCUUCCUCCUUUCCAAUUCCUUUAAACCCGUUGCUCCUUCCUCUGUUCCUUCAGUUUGACCAGGGCCCUUGCGUGCAAGGUGUCAGAUUUUUUUUCCAGCAUACACCCACAUCCCUUUUCCAGACAAGUUUGUGUGUCCUGAAUAAAACUGUGCCAGAGAAGGCAGCAGGUGCUGUGGUCUGUGCCAGUGUGCCCCCUGGCUUCUUCAAACCUUCACACCCACAAGGAAAAAGUAUGAUACAGCUGAAGUUCCAAGCUCUGAGGACAGGCUCUUCCCCUAGUGCAUGAGCCAUUCCCGGAUCGAAUCAUCAGGUAACUGCAGACCUUGGAUAUGGCUAAAUGUGAGCUACUGCAGAGACCGCAUGACCCUUGGCUCUAUUCAAACAGAAAGUUAUUUUAUAAUUGCUGCUUUGUGUUGGAGAACAGUGGAAGACAUAAGCAGCACAAGCUGCUGGCUAAUCUGUCCUGUUUUUCAUCUUGGUGCCUGGAGUUUCAGUAGAAAGGAUACACAGAUGUUCUGAAAUGCUAGAUGAUUGGACAGACUGAAUCUUUCCUGCAGAAUCACAAUUGGAAAGACUGAAUAUACAUGGAUGUGAAUGGAGCAGGUAGACUUUGUGCUACAUUGACUUGAUGAAAAUCUGGCUUGAUAAUUGCGGUGUUUUAUAGAUCUCUCAUUGGAUCAAAUGGUACUGAAAAUAUUGGUUGGGUGAAAAAACUUGUUUACUGUUUGGGAACCAAUUAAUCCAUUAUUCAUACUGAUUGGAUGUAUAAAGCUGCCAUUGAGUACAUCUCUCUUGAAGCAGAGACAGUCAUCACUCUCCCCACCGGGUUGAAAAGCUUUGUUCUGCAUUGUUUUAAUAAAAUUUAGUAUUACUAUCCACAGUAUGGAGAUUUAGCAUUAAAUGCUGCUGCAAUAAAAGCACAAUAUCACAGCCAGGUAAAUGGUGCCAAGUACCAGGGAGGAUAUCCAGUGUACCACCAGACACCCAGCUUAGUUGUAAGCAGUUGCUUCAACCUGUCUCCAGGCAAAUUAAAGAGGGGUCCAGGAAAUACUGUCUUUAUUCCACAAUAUUUGUAUUGCGUGUAACUAACUGGCUGUGUGCCUGAUCAGGGAGUUGUACAUAUUUAAUGAUUCUGGUCUCUUAUGCACCAAAGUAUAAGAAGUUGAUGAAUGUGUUCUUAAUUGCUUGUGGAUUAGGAUUUGUAGUACUUAUUAUCUAAAUUGCUUUGCUCAAUAAAUCCCACCAUUGCUGCAUUCAUAUAUGAUAGGUGUUUGUUCUUAAUCAGUGAGACUCUGGGGAGAUCAAUGUCUGUAAUUGUACAACACAACUCAUUGCUUCGCAAAUGUGCCUAAAAAUGAGGUUGUGGUAUUUAAUUAGCACCGCACUCUGAAUAGACAAAUCUUACUCAACAUCUGCAUCAUGAAAAACAUGCUUUGGCCCUAGUGGUGAUUCCAUCAAACUCCUCCAACACCUUCCAAACAUAUUGCUUAAUGCUUUGAGCUUUUCCACCAUUAAUAAAUGAGGAAAGUAGUUGAAACUGGCUAGUUGCUCAGCUGAUUGUAGAAGCUGCACUCUAGAGCAAAUUUCCAAGAGAAUGGAAUUGUGAUCAUAUGAUUUCAAGUGGCUUUACCUAUAAUCUAAAUUAAGCAAUACUGACACCUCUGAUUCAUAUUGUACAUUGCUUCAGGUGAUAAGUGCCUUCUGCAACCACUUUGUAUUUAUUCCAAAACACACCUGCUUA